GAUGAACGCUGGCGGCGUGCCUAAUACAUGCAAGUCGAGCGAACAGACGAGGAGCUUGCUCCUCUGACGUUAGCGGCGGACGGGUGAGUAACACGUGGAUAACCUACCUAUAAGACUGGGAUAACUUCGGGAAACCGGAUCUAAUACCGGAUAAUAUAUUGAACCGCAUGGUUCAAUAGUGAAAGACGGUUUUGCUGUCACUUAUAGAUGGAUCCGCGCCGCAUUAGCUAGUUGGUAAGGUAACGGCUUACCAAGGCAACGAUGCGUAGCCGACCUGAGAGGGUGAUCGGCCACACUGGAACUGAGACACGGUCCAGACUCCUACGGGAGGCAGCAGUAGGGAAUAUUCCGCAAUGGGCGAAAGCCUGACGGAGCAACGCCGCGUGAGUGAUGAAGGUCUUCGGAUCGUAAAACUCUGUUAUUAGGGAAGAACAAAUGUGUAAGUAACUAUGCACGUCUUGACGGUACCUAAUCAGAAAGCAACGGCUAACUACGUG
rnacentral:rRNA from 1 species